CCUACGGGAGGCAGCAGUGGGGAAUAUUGGACAAUGGGCGAAAGCCUGAUCCAGCAACGCCGUGUGUGUGAAGAAGGCCUUCGGGUUGUAAAGCACUUUUAGUUGGGAAGAAAAGCUCAAGAUUAAUAACUUUGAGUGAUGACGUUACCAACAGAAAAAGCACUGGCUAACUCUGUGCCAGCAGCCGCGGUAAUACAGAGAGUGCGAGCGUUAAUCGGAAUUACUGGGCGUAAAGCGCACGUAGGUGGAAUUUUAAGUCGGAUGUGAAAUCCCCGGGCUUAACCUGGGAAUUGCAUUCGAUACUGUGAUUCUAGAGUAUGGUAGAGGGAAGUGGAAUUUCCGGUGUAGCGGUGAAAUGCGUAGAUAUCGGAAGGAACAUCAGUGGCGAAAGCGGCUUCCUGGACCAAUACUGACACUUAGGUGCGAAAGCGUGGGGAGCAAACAGGAUUAGAUACCCUGGUAGUCCACGCCGUCAACGAUGAUAACUAGAUGUUGGGGAUUUACUCCUUAGUAUCGAAGCUAACGCGUUAAGUUAUCCGCCUGGGGAGUACGGCCGCAAGGUUAAAACCUCAAAUGAAUUGACGG
rnacentral:rRNA from 1 species